ensembl:lncRNA
CUGGGACCUGGGCUUCUGCAGGGCACUCGAAUGUAAUGGCAGAAGAAAGAGAACAUAUUGUACGGCAGAAGGACAGCUUAAUUUUCUGCAGCUAAACAUGGUGCUGCUGCUGCAGUAUCCCUUGCGUACUACACUGAAAGAAAUAGCCUGGACGUGCACCUGGAAUGUGCUCAAAUGAUACCGUGCAACUUGGAAAUGCCCAGAGGCCUUUAUGGUGAGUUUUGUUGAACAAAGCACAGAAGUUCGAUCGCUGCAUGUCAAGAUGACACUAUUUUGAAUUAUUGGGGAAAAAAAAAAAGAUUUAAAAUAUUUGCUCUUUGAAUGAAAUGAGUAACUCCUAGAAUGACUUCAGGUGUGUAAGAAUCCAUCACUUCCCUAGCUAAUAGGAUUACGGAGGUGAUGAAUUGCCCACUGGAGGUUUUGAUAUCUCUGAAUAAAGAAGACAGCCUGCAAGCAAUACUUGCAGCCCGGGCAUUGCUAUAUACCGUGUUCUGGGCUCCACAGUAUAAAGAGGAUGUGAAGAUGCUUGACAGCAUCCGGAGGAGGGCAACAAAGCUGAAAGCACAAAAAUCUCAUGAAAGCAAAGAGAAUUGUACCUCCAAGAAACUCCUUAACAGCCACCACCACCAGAAGAUAAUGUCUGAUGAGCUUUUCUCAACCAAGAAUUUUCCUCCACCAUCUGGCACUGCCACUCAUCCUCCCAGAAGAGGCUGCCAGGCUCCCCCAGGAAGGCGCUGAAAACAGAGCACAGGUUCGGCUAGCACGGCGGUCUGGCAGGAACUGCUUCCCAUCUCGUUAUAAGACCAAAACAGCAGGAGAUUCUGUUCCACGUCUCGUUUUCCAAGCUCAGAGGGAGAGAGGAUCGCGAGAGGCCAUCCAGCUUGAGGCUCAGAGCAGAGGUUCCUGAGACCUCCGUGCCAGGACACCACUUGUCAAAGUCACAGAAUGGCCUGAGUUGGAAGGGACCCAGUAGAGUGGGAUCUUGGCCAAAAAUUCCUUCAGCAGCUUAAAGUUCGCUCUUCUGAAGUUCAGGGUCCUGACCCCACUGUUUGCCAGGCCCGCAUUCCUCGAGAUCAUGAACUCGGCCACAGCGUGGUCACUGCAGCCCAGGCUGCCUCCCACCUUAACACCUGUAAUGAUCAUCUCUGCAUUGGUGAGCAGCAGGUCCAGCAACACUUCACUCCUGGUUGGUCUGUCCAAUACCUGAACCAGAAAGUUAUCAUCAAUGGAUUCCAGGAGCCUCCUGGACCUCUUGGAACUCGCUGUGUGGUCUCUCCAUCAGAUAUCUGGAUGGUUGAAGUCCCUCACCAGGACGAGAGUCUGUGAGCACAAUGUCUCCUGCAUCUGAAGCAAGAAGGCCUUGUCAACGUCUCCCCUUGAUCAGGUGGCCUGUAGUAUAUAUAUCCCUAUCACCAGCUGGCCUUUAUGAGUCCUAUCCCUAGUUUUAACCCACAGGCUCUCAACCUGUUCCUGACUGUUUCUCAGAGGGAGCUCCUCACAGUCUAUCCACUCUUUGACAAGAGGACAACUCCCCCACCCUUCUACCUUGCCUAUCCCUUCUAAAGAGCCGAGGCCCCUCAAUGGUGGUAUUCCAGUUAUGGAGUCAUCCCAGACUCCCAUGAUAGCAACAAGGUCAUAACUUUCCAAAUUUCCAACUCAUCCUACUUAUUUCCUAGGCUGUGUGUAUUUGUAUAAAGUCAGGUGCUGGUUCUUUGCAGAGGCGGACUCUGCACAUAAACGUCAGUGUUGAAUGACACCGACCAGUAGGUAAGUUGGGGUCAGUCCUCUAAACAGGUUUGUGCAUGGCAAAUGUCACUAUUGAUUGGGGUUGUUGUGUGGGAGGUUAUUGGUUCCAGAAGGAAAAACAAUGAAUCACAAUAAAACGGCAGCCAGGAAAUAGGUAAUUCAGGAGUGGAAAUGCUCUCCAGUCCCAUCUCUGACUACUGCACUCUCUCCGUGCUUCUGUCCAGCCUGCGUUGUUUUUUAAUGUUUCCAGUGAAACACAUUUGACUGUUUCCCGUGGGAAAAUACAGCACAGCAACCAUACAGCACGCAAUUGCUGUCAAAUCAUUUUCUUUCAUUUUCCUUUGAUUUCAUCAGUCCUACUUACCCACCCCUUAAUAGUUCUUUUCUGUGUACUUCAGCCCUAAGAAUUUCCCAUGCAAACGCAUCCUUCAAAUGUCUUCUGGCUGCUCUCCCUGCUGCAGGUUUUGGCCAAGUUAUAUCUAAGUGAUCUUGCAUUUCUUUUUUGUAUGUUAGUGCUUCAAAUUCAAUGGUUAGGAUUUUUGUGGCCUAUUUUAUGCUGGUCUUUGCUACUCCUCUGGGGCUCCUUCUUUUUAAGGGAUAAUUUCUUAUUAUAGUCAGUCUGUGAUCUGCAAGUGGAGGUCCAGGCACAAGAACAAUUUGCAAUUACUUCUUGACAGUCAGAAUUGCAAUAAUAGCGGUGUUACUGGUUUUUAAAGAAGCCUUUUUUUUCUCUCUCUCUCUAGUGGCUAUCUGCAAUUUCAGCUACAGUUCCUCAGGUGUAAGUUGUGUUGUUUUUUUUCCCAGUGAAUUCUGCCAUCAGGAAAUUGGAGAGCUCUUUGAGUAAAUAACCUUCCUUUAAAUCUCUUUGUCCUUGCACUUGGAUCAUUUAUUUGCUACAGAUAAAAUCACAGAGAUGAAAAACCUACAAUAUUUCAGUCUUUUAAUUGGAAACUAGGUUAAUGUAACACAGGUGGGAUAUUCUUUCUGUUUCAGCUUUGGGUAGGGCUAGAGGGGGCCAUGGUGACCAAAUGAUACUGCUAUGUAUCACCAGGCUUAUUUUAUUAAUAACAAUGAGGCUGUUAGCUCACUUUCUCUGUCUAGCUGUGCAUUUCUAGAAGCCUUAGGAAGUUUUACCUUUUCAAGAGGGCUGUGGAUAUCUGCUGCAGUUAAUAUUUACUUGAACAAAUGGAAAAAAAGUAAUUUUUAAAUGAAAAUAUUUUUUUGUUUUGGUUUCUUUUUCGUUUGAGACAACUCCUUGUUCUCUGAUUAAAAAAAUACAAGAAAUCAGGUUUUCCAGCAAGCAGGAGAUCCAAGGGCGAGCUUUUGGUAUUAUGUAACCAUUAAAAGAAGGCUUCUAGAGUCUAAACUACAGUAAUAAGUAGUAUUUCUCUUACUUUGCAACCAGCUCUACUAAGUAAUAGACUAUCGUGAUAACAUACCCUAUAAAUGUCUUUAUGUAAACACAACUGACUAGAUGUAUUUUCUGUCUGAGUACCUGGAUUGGCUUAUAGGCUGAAAUAUUGUUAUACUGCUUUCAGAAAGCCUAAGUAUGAUUGCUUUGCACCAGAAGUGAUGGUAUGUAGAUUAAUGAGCAGAAUGUGUGCAGUCCAUGAGAGUACUGGAGGUGACACAGACACCUGAGAGAGAGCACAGUGAGGAUAUUCAGAUUGGAAAUAUUCCAAUUAGAACAUCAAAAAAUACAUAAUGUUUUUGCUAAUAAGUAAAACUUGGUCAUACCCGGUGACUCCAUAAUGAAGAUUAAAUCAUGGAGAUUAAAAGUCAGUUGGAGAUGCAUGACAAGGUAUAUAAUCAGUAGGAAAUACAUGUAGUAAGAUGAAUAAGGAAUGGAUUAAACAGAUAUAAUAGGGUGAAUUAUGACCCAGGCUCUGACCUUGUGGCAUGCUGCUUGGAUGUCACUGUGCAGUGAUACAUUUGUCGUGUACUGUUCUGCCUGAGUAGAAGGGCCUGCAUGCCAAACUUUGUCCUGGAACACGUCUGUGCUCAGAGGUAGGUGAAUCUCACAUUUGAUCUUCUGCACUGAAAUUUUACUGCAGGGAAUGGAGCCAAGCCCAUAUUCCUAGGUCAGUUCAGGCUUCAUUAGGUGACCUUUCUGCCUUUGCAAUCACCUGUAUCUUGUGGGACAGCAGGCAUUAGUUUAAAUAAUCUAAAACCAAAAUAGCAUGACAUCUGAACAACUGUCAAGGUAGGUAAACGUACAAGGUUUAUCAAGUUAUCUUGAUGGAAGGUCCCGGAGCUGCUUAAGGUGUGUUUGAAACUCAUGAAAAAACUGUUUGUCUUCUUUUCCAUCUACUGCUAGUUUGAAUAUCAGGUCAUGUCCAAGUCAAAGUGUAUUUGUUCAUGAUCAGAGCUGGAUGUGACGCUGGGCCCUGAAGGAUGAGACAGAAAUGAGGGAUUAGGACUAAACUGGCACAUCUUCUAGUUGUCAGGGAGUGAAAGGCAAACAGCAAUUCCCAGGUUGGGACAAGGGUAAUUUCUCACUCAAAUCCAUCACAAAGGACAAUUCUCUAUGCUUGUGUAGCAAUUAAUAUUAGCCUCUACGCCUAGUUGGGCUUCAGACCAUUACUAAACUGUGUCCAAAUUUCAGGUUAUUUUCCUUAAUCACUCACUGCAUUCUUUAAUAGAACGGCUUGUCAAGUGGCACGGUUAGAAUUUUGGGGUGAUUAAAUAUAUAUGGCUAAAUUCCCAACAUUUCUCAAUCCCACUGUUCCAAGAGGUAGAGGAAAAGCACCUUUAACAAACACAUUUUCAAGGAAAUUAUAAUUUUUUGUGUUAUGAGUAAUGCAAUAUUAAACACAUACCUCCGCUCUGGAAUUUUGUCUGCAUCUUUGAUGUCAGUGAUCAAAUAUUCAUUCCCUUGAUUAUUCAAAUAAUUAGACAUUUUAUCAGUUUCUUUCAAAAGCUCAGAAGUAAAAGGCAAAUUCCUUGAAGGGGUGUUCAAUAUUUAGUUUACUGUCAGCAGAAGAGUCAUUAGGCAGGAGGAUGGUGUGACAGGGAGAAAAAGUGUUUGUUGCAGAGGGCCUCAGACUUUCAAAGUGAAUGCUUUGAAAUUUUACUGUGUUGGGGGAAGUUCUUGCUCAAAAACUGCAGGUCAGAUCCUCACCUGAGGAUGCUUAUCAUACUUCCAGCAGCUUUAAUGGAAGGAGAGCCAAGCCAAGAUGGGGAGCACUGGUUGUGAAUGAGGGAUCUAGUCAAGCACCCCUUCCGCUUUGGUUUAACUGGUGUUUAAAGACCGUAUUGUGAGGAAAUUCUGCAUUUUGCCCUUAUGCAGGAGAGGCAACAAACAUACAUAAAAAUAGACUUACAGGUCAUGUAUAAUAAAAACUGGAUACAUACAUUUCCCAAUUCCUUUAUGAACAACAGAUGCUGACACUGGUGAAAUCCCAUCGUCUUUAAGGUUAUAAUUUAGCAGUGGCUGAAAAAGAAAUGUAACAUAUUUAGAUCUUUAUUAUACUUAAUUGCUUCAAGCUUUCUGACUAUUGUGUGUAUGUCACAGAGGAUUAGAAUGAAAUCAAUUCAAAUCUCAUGCAUAAUGUGCAAGAAUUUUUUUGUUUGUUACAAUUCCUACCAUUUCGUAUUAAUUAUAAUCAAGAGAGGAUGUAGGCUGCCGUUGUCUUGUUAAUGAUAAAUACAAAUAUAGCAACAGUAUUUUCAUUUUAUUUAUUUAUUUUGCUCUGGGUCUACCUUGUGUAAAUCAUAUCUGUAAAGAACAAUGGGAGCUUGUCAGUGUCUGUGCACUGCAGAAAAGAGUGCAUUUAGAAAGUAAGUAUGCACAUUAUUUUUAUUGCGCGAUAAAGUAGAAAAAUGCCUUACAUCACUUUCUGCUAUGGAUUUUUGUUAUGGCUUCGUGCUCUGUGUCUCAGAUGUUUAUGUAAGCAUGAAGAAAUAUAUUCUUUAAAAAGAGACAUAAGCAGUUUGACUGAAACAAUAUUUUCCUGGUUACGUCGUGUCAAGGAUUAUCUAGAAAAAAGACUUCAGCACAAACCCUAAAAUAAAAUACUGUAAUACCUAUACGUGAGGUAUUAAUACCUAUACCUUCUUUUGGGACAGUGCAUAUUCAUUAUAGCUAAAACACUGGCGGUAAAGUAGUGACAAAUGGGACAAACAUGUAGCAGUAAAUAUGCAUACAUGGUAUUUUUCAAUUCAAUUCAAUUCAAAGGCCUUAAAGGCUUAGAAUCUCAUCUUACCUUCUUCUGUAUACAAUUUUCCUACUCACCACAGGUUGCCCUAACACUGGUGAGGGGUGUUCAGAGAUAGGAACGGCAGGUCCUAAACUACUAAACUGCAGUGCUGACAGAUACAAAGAAUUAAAGACAUGAUGGCUUUUAUUCUUUCUUGUUAACGUAAGUUUGUAAGGUACCUUUACAAAUAGCAAAAUAGUCAAGUAAUUUCGGAAGAAAAACAACAAUAUUCAAGAGGCUCUUCUUUUUCUUCGAUGUUUAAUCAGAAAAAAAAAGAUUGCAGUUGUUGCAAAGGAAUCAAGGAGAAAGAGGACAGCUGGGAGCAUUAAAAGCAGGCAAGUGUUUUUCUUUCCUUUUUUUGUUUUGUUUCUCUUCAAACUAAGAAGGAUGUGACUUCACUGUAUGCUUUCCUUCAACAACAAUAUUCCAUUCAUACCAGGAGAGUCCAGUGUUUCUAUCAGGCUCAAACAAAAUGCUAAAAUAAUUCUUUAAGCAAUAUAUAAAUUAUCGUCUUAUGGUGGCCAAACAAGUUUCUGUGCCAGCAAAAUAAUGCGCUGUCCCUCUCUGAUGGAUCAUUACUGAAUAGCAUGAGUUUUGCACAGAUUGUCAGCAAAAUAUAAGAAGUGACUGGCAGCACUGCACUGCCAUGCGUCCGAAGUACUCCAUGAGACACCACAAGAGACAGAGAAGGUAGGUACAAAGUCAGAGACUGUAUUGUGGAAAGUCUCCCUUGCCACAAGACACACCACUGACUCUAUUAGAACAAAAUCAGAGCCAAUUCGUAUCACUUUAUAUCAGGUGUCAAUUCAUAUCACACAACGUAAGGCACAAAGUCAUGACACUGAGUGUCUCACUUGUUGUCAAGUAUUUAUACCUCCUCUGUAAGCAGUGCAUCAAUAUCAAAGGUGACUGCUGAACGGAGAUUUAGAAUACAUCCCAUGUACAGAUUCUGCUUAGGCUGUGGAAGCAAAGUGUUUGCUAUGGAAGCAAUCAGCAAACUACAGAAAGGGCUUUUUAAAUUGAGGCUGUGGCUAUCUUAGAACCAGAGAUGACCAAAGAAGAAGGACAGGAGGCCCAGUGUCUCUUAUAGCUUGAAACAGUGAAGCAAAGAACACUUAUCCUCUAUGUCAGCCUAUGAAGGAGCUGGGAAUCUGUGCAAGGAAUCUUAAAUCUGUCAGGCAAUCAAGUCAAUAGAUCUAAUCCUAAAAGAACCUUUCUGAGUCUUUAGUUUGUUUGGAAAGGUAGGUGUGGAUUAUCUCUGGAUGGAGUGACUGUGAAGUCUAGUUAAUGGCUACACAGUUCUGUUCCUUACACAGUCCUUAGUCACUGAAAGAUUUUACAGAGGAGCCCACAGCAGUGAAUAUGAGCCAGAAAUAGAGCCACAGAGCUAUUCCUGAAAGCAACUGAAUCUGUACCUCUUUUCAAUGGGGAGAAGUAAACAAAAUCCAAAGUAAGUGGAAAUUCUACAGAACUCUUCUAAUAUUUCGGAUUAAAAAAAUGUAACUUCGUAGCUCUCAGAGUGACUGUUAAGAAAGCUGCGCACAUUGUUCCAGAGCAGACCUUGUCCGACCAAAACUGCUGAGCACAGCUUUUAUAUUGUUGUAUUAAUGCAAUUUAUUUACUAUGAAAUGUUCACAUUAUUGAAUCCUAUUUUUCUACCAGCUGGUCAUACUGUGAAAAGCAAACCAUCCAGCCUAAAUAAAUAAAACAGUACCACUGUGCUGGCAUGUCAGAAGGUAGGCUACUCUGUAUAAUGGAAAUGCAAAUAUGGAAGCAGUUGUUAUUUCAUGGAUAAAUAAAACUUACAGAGAGAUGGUGCAAUGCUUUUUUUUCCCCCUCUUUUCUUCUGAUAAUCAUUCGGUCAUCAUAUACCAAUCCCUCCUUUGUUUGCCGUUGUAGUGCCCUGCUGUUAUGGAAGAAUGGCAUUUCAAAAGGGCUUAUGAGCAUCUCCUUUCUGAUCUAGUACCUCCGCAACCAGAGGCUGAGGUACUGAAUUGCCAAAGGCCUCCAAAAGUUAUUUUGCAGACACGUCCCUGGGCUGAAGAUUACUUGAGAUAAUAGCUGUUUCUCUAUGGGCCUCUUUUUCAUCUUUGAAAGUAUUCUCGGCAUACUUCAUGGGCAGCUCCCUGCGCUCCAGACAAGCAGCUGAUGACUAUGCUGUUUACUCACUGGGUCCUCUAUUUUUUGCAGUCAUUUCAAGGCUCAGGAAUUACACUAACUAAGAUUGGGAAUGCCAUGAUUUCAAACAAACCAGUAAAUACAUGUUUUUUUCCUAGACAAGCAGUGAAGUGUGCAGCUGAAGUGCAGGAGGAACUGAGGGGUUUUAACUUGGAGGGAUUGGGGUAUCAGAAAGGGAGUACUGCAAAGGUGAGUUGAGGAGGUUUGGAACUAUUGGGGAACAGGAGGUGAGGGCUCUGAGCUUGGCAGGCUUCAGAGCCACGAGGCACUGUAAAGUGGGGCUCUGGUAGUGUGGGCUCAAUGCUUAUCGUGGUAAUCCUACUUUAAUCCCAGUAUAUACCCUGACCUUGAAGAAAGGAAUCUGAGAACAGAGUAUUGUCUGCUUACCUCUCUGCCAUCCUUGACUUUGCAGCUCUCAGCUAAGAUCCGCUUGAAUAAGCAGCUACAUUUCUUGGUGCUUAUCCAAGGUAACUAAAACCUAAACUUUUGCAGAUCACCUUUUACAUUAAAUCUCUUUUCCUUAGGAAAUAAAUUUGCACUUCAGCUUGGCCUAUGCUACAUAAAUAAGUAAACAAAUCAGGACAUUUUUCUGAUUGAAAGGGCACACAGAGAUUGCUCCAGGCUAUUAAUACCAUGCUUGUGCGGAAUAAAGAGAGAUAACCAAGAAUUUACUUUGCAGAGCUCAAAACUGAUAAUGCACACAGCUGAAAGAGUGCUGUUUUUCCAAUGCAGCACACCUUCAUAAUCACUUAUGGAAAUAGUAGUGUUUUUUAAUACUUUUAGUGACAUUUACAAGGGUUCUGACUGGAAGUUGUAAAGGUAGGACUCAGUUCCUGUACUGAGAAGCACUAUUUGAAAAUUAUCUGACAAACCACAUUAAAGCUAUCUCAAAUAUCUAGAUGAGAAAGGCAAAGAACUGUAAUUUCAAUCCAGACCUAAAGCAGAACUGAACGAAGUUCCAAAAUAGCUUCCAACCUAGAACUUUCAAGCUUCUAUUCUUAAUAGCUUUGAAUCUGAAUUUCAUUUUAUCUAACAGCUGUAGCUGUUCCUUUGUAAAUGACAGAAAAACUUCCCUUCAUUUUUAAUGGGCCAAGUGAUGUGUCAUGGGCAAGGUCAAACAAGUGACUGAGCAUUUACAGAAUCAAGAUGUGAACAUAUUCACAAUUCAUAAAGUCAUUGUGCAAUGACACUUUUCAGGCACAGCUAAGAGGGAGAUGGGGUGAACGAGACUGUGCUGGGUUCUGUGCUGCAGACUGAGGUUUGAAUUAUUUCAGAGUCCUCUUGGCCCAAGAGCAGGCCUAUUCACCUGAAUGGACCAUACUUGUGAAAUGAUGAUUUUAAAAUUCUGUUUCUUCAGUGUAUUCUAUGAAGGCUUUUCUUUAAUUCAGUAUGGUAGAACCAGCUGUGUUCCAAGACAUUUCUCCUUUCAUGCUUGUUAAAUAAUCCUUUCCUAAGUUACAGGUAAGAAAGUCUGUCUUUAUCUCCAGGAGAUGAAAGCAGGAGAUAGUCCUGUCAUACGGAUCAGUUUUGCUUGCCUGUCUGGAAUUUUUAUUACAGUGCCAGAUCCUCCACAGAACAAAGGAACAGAAAGGGAAAGCCUGGACAGCAUUCCCUGGUGCCUGCUUGAGGUCUUCAACUUCUGAAUAUUUCAGGCAGCAUCUCUGGCUCUGAAUGGAAAUGGACAAAUGAAAACGUGGAAUGAGUUUUCAAGGACAGAAUUGGAGGGAAGAUUUAUCAUGGUAUGCGAUAGCUUUCUGGUGAAAAGUUAUGGCAAAUUAGCCUGAAUAUAGUACUUAAAUAUAUGGCACGAAGCAAUUCCAGAGAGUUAUGGCAAUAAGGAAAGUAGCCUACAGGUCUUUUUCAUCUGGACAGUUUGGGAAUGAGUCUCUGAUUGGUUUCUCUCACGGCAUACUCUGCAGCUGGUGAGCAAGGAGGGAAAAAAGUCAAUAUUUGCUUUUAAAAAUGUUCUGCAUGUUUUGUACUCUGGCCACUGUGUUAUCCUAUUCUCCAUGUACAUGAUAUUAUAUAAAAGUUGCCCGCUUUCCCUAUUGUGCUAAGGAAACAAAUCUAAUUGUAGAAAAAACAGCAGCAGCUUGGAGGUGGUGGCAGGAAAAUACGGGGCAAAAGCUGAAAGGAAGAGGGAAGGAAGACGAAGCAAAGCACAUCAUCUCAUCACUCCCCUAGCUGCCGUAAGAGCAAUCAGCUCAAGAGAACAUUUCUUUCAGGCUGUGUUCAAUCUGCUGCAGUUUAAAAUGUCUCAAGUGAUGGGGAAUAUUUUCUCACUACUGAUGGAGAAGUUAGUGUGUGUCAGUUCAAACCAAUAAAUACCUGGUUUGACGGUGACAUUUACAAGUUGCCUGCUCCACUGAGCUCAGUACGCAAGUUAACAGCUCACAUUCUACAGUCAGUUCCUUAAUUAUCUUAUCUUCCCCCCAAAGAUUUGUCAGGAAGCCAUCUGAUGAUAUCCUGGAUAGAUGUGCUAUGCCAGCAAAGCAUUGGUUUGACUUUGACAUGCGUUCUGGGCUACUGAAGAUUCCUUCCUGGUAGGAGGAGAUGACUCAGCAGCUGCUCCAAUGCUUGUCCUCCCCACCUUAAAAACAGUUCCCUUCAAAUGCGUUUCCUUAAGGGGUUAUUCAAGUUUCUCAUCAUACAUUCAGCAGGAAAGAAGAAGAAAAAUCUUCCCCCAAACAAUGUUCUGUAUUUUUGAAAGCAGUUUUAGGGUAAGAACUACGUAGUAUCUAGGACAGAGUGGAAUAUAAAUUAACGUGGAAAGGACAAAAGGAACUUCAACAUAGUGAAUGGAAUCCAGAAUUUGUUUCCUAAUGAAAUUUUUACUUCUUAAAUACACCCCUGCUCUUCUCCCUUCUUCAUAGAUUUUCCACUGAAAAUUUUUUAUUAGCAGUCCUGAGGCAGUGAACAGACCCACAGACCCCACUGCUGUGUGAAUUCACAUUAUUUUUAGCUCUCCUGCAUGAAAAAUUAUGGAGGAGAAAUUUUAGGCUUGCAGAAUGAUACCUCACCUAUAUUCAAAAAUAUAAUUCCUUCCAAGGGAAAUCCUUAUGAUCUCCUCAAAUUACUGCAUUAAAAAUCAUGACAAAAAUACCUGUUCAAGCAAGGCACACAAAUGUACAAAAUGUAAAUUACUUCUCAGAAAACCAGCUUGAAUGAAGUCUGCAUUGAACUUAUUCUGUGGCUGAUUAUACUUGCUUUGAAAAAUUGUCUUGUUCGUAUCAAUAAUCAAAAUCCUCAAGCCUUGGCUGCAGCCAUGGCGCAGAAAUUAGAAAGCUUUGGAAAUAAAAUACAGUCUGAUUUUGUUGAAGUGCUUUUCUCCUGAGCACCUGGAGGAAAGGUUAAAAAAAACCCAACUCAGUAUGUUCUUUGGCAGAGUAAUUGCCUAGUGGAUAAGAGAAACAGAAGGGGGCAUCUGUAUUUGCCCUGGUAAAGCUGCAUAAAAAUCAUACAAGCAAGCUGAGGAAAUAUGUACUAGCACUAAUCAACACUAUUACCAAGGUGGCUGCAAAUAUACUUUCCUAAGAAAAUUAAUACUCAGCUCUACAGAUAGGAAGGUCUUUCAGUCAGAGGUCUGUCAGUUAUUUCAUUAACUUAAAUGUUAUAAGACUGUACGCAUGCAUAAAUUGCAGUGCACAUUGAGCUAUGAAGUGUAACAGCAGUCAUGAAACCAGAAUUAAGAUUCAAAAUGGUCCUGAUAAAUUGGAAAGCUGGUCAGAAUUCAGUGGGAUGACAUGCAAAAAAAGUGGACAGAAGCAGAAAUCUUACCUGCUUAUAUGUUAACAGCAGUUCCAUGUAUAAUACAUCCAAAGAACUGGAUGGGCACCAACAGUCACUGCCCAUUGGUACAUGAAGUUUGCUACUGUCCUCUGUAUUCUGCUGUCUGCAGUAGAGGAAGGGAAGGGAAAUAGCACUGAUUUUCAGAAAGUUUGAAGUCGAAAAUUCACAAACAUUUUCAACUCUAAAAGUAUCCAAGAAACUUAACUUUGUUUGGUUACUGAAUAGAGGGACAGACAAAAUAAUGUGUGACUGAAGGGUUGGAGGGUUCCCCUGUGCAGGAAGGGCAUGUGGCAGUGAUGGGGCAGCUACCAAGUGUCCACAUCAGAAAAGGACCUGAGACAUAAUCAACUUUUAUAUAUUUAUAGACAGGAACAAGCAGAGCUGAGGUAAAAGAUUUUGGUCCUUCCAGCUCCCAUUCACCUGCACACAGGACCUCCAGCACUUCCAAGGUGAGACAAGGGGAGAUGAAGCAAGUCCCUCCAUCCAGCAGAUGAGAGGAAGCAGCAGAGGUAUCAGCGCCUCAAGAUGUGGCAUCCUCACUGCUCACUAAGAAAAUACAUACCAAACAUAGUUUCUUAAAUUUGAGGUAAACACAAGGUUAAACAGACAUUAGUCAAGGUUAACCAGAGUACAGUGAGUCCUUUCUCAGUACAAAAUGGUAAGAUUAACUCUAUUCUGGACACCCUUUCAAAUUAUUCUGUGACCACAUGCAAGAUUAAAGCAUACCCUGCAACCUAUUGCCUACAGUGAAAAUGAUGAAUAUAAUCAUGCCGAAGUAAAGCCAACAAAUGUUUCUUAGGAUCAGUAACACUUUUAGAGUACAUGGAUGUAUUUAAGCUGUACUGCAUUAUGCAUCUAAAGAUGCAACUGAGCACAGAUCUCUGCUUAGGCUCUGCCCUAGAAGAAUGAAGAUUAUAAUCUAUUUUGCUUAGAAGGUACUUAGAAAGGCUCUUAAAGCACAGCAACAGCAAGAUAAAAACUGUAAUCCAGUUCUUUUUUGGGACAUAGAUCUCUACAAAUAUUUGCUGCUGAAAAAAUGCCAUGGCACUUGUAUGGAGCAAUAAGAAAGCUAACCAGUGGAACAUACGUUAUUCCUCACUUCAAAUGUCCACAAAUUAUCUACAUUAUUCACAAGGUUUUACACUUGCCAUAGCAAUCAAAGCCUAUUCUUUCUUUCUUUUUCAAGAUUCAGCCUACAGAGCCACUCUCAUUACUGCUCAGGACAAGACAUGAGAAUUAUGAGAAUGCUGAGCUGCACCCAAUUCUCCCCAGCCAUCCUUUCCCACACAUCUGAGACACAAUAUUUAGGUGCUGAAUCCCAUAUAAUGCUGUUAACAACAGUAACAGAGUUACUCUGCUGACAUAUUUUAAGGCAUAUUCACUCACAGUCACAGUAUUCCUUGCACUGAAGAACUAUGGGGCUGAGUACCUAAUGGCCAUUUAUCUGGAAACAUCCUUUAAUUUUGGUAGUGUUUCUUUAAAAAUCCUCUCUUGGAUACCUACAGAACUGUCUGAGAUGAACAAGUUCGUGGUCCUCGUAAAUUAGUCAUUCCAAGGUCAUCAUGAUGCUAAAUGCAAAAGGAGUAUUCUUAGCAACUCAACAGUUGAGAAGUGCUCUGUUGUUUAUGGACCAGAAAGAAUGGGAAGCCCUUGUCCAAAAAAAGGAAAAUUGUUAAGAGAAAAGAGGAGGCCAGGGAGUGAUUCUGUGAUCACAGAUCUUUGUUUAAGCAAAUAAAAUUGUAGGAUUUUAUCAGGAAAAGACAAAGAAUGAAUGAUGAAAUGGCAGAAGACAACAGAAGUAUAGGAUACAGGUGCCAUCUGAAGUGCACUUGCUUGUUUUUUCAUCUAAGGAAAAGAGUAUAGCUUAGCCAGAAAUUAAACUGCUAUCAUUUAUCUCUCUCUUGUAUCACAAGAGAGGUACAUGUUGGCAUUUUAUGCUCUGUCUGUGUUACAUCAGUUCAUUACCAGGGCACUGUCAGGCACACUAAAAUGGUGGCAUUCACUGUAUUACCUGGGAGCCCUCUGCAAGUCCCUCCUUCCUCCACUUAAGGGUCCAUGUGUAGUUUGGGUUCCUUAUCUCUGGUGCAGCCUGAAGAGUGCUGCAGCUGCCAGCUGCCUCAGGGUUAGUGAUGGCAGUUCCUGAAAGAAAUUUCUGACCAGUUUGGAUGUGGAUAAAAAUUUUCCAUAGACUGUGUGCUGGAAAUCCCCUAAAGAACUAGCAAUCCCUCUCCCGAGCAUUAAUUUUCUAUAUCUAUCCUUUUUCCUCUCCUCUGUUCUUUUUGCUUUUCUGUCUUCUCCCCACUGUGACAGAGCUGGGUGGCCUCCCAUAGCAGGCACAGGCGCUGAGGAAAGGAUACCGCCCAGUGCACUGUCUCUACAUCCAUAUGGGUCCCCACUAAGCAAAAAAAUACAUCUGAAGAAUUAAUCUUGAAGCAUCUGUCUUUCCUAGUGGGAUCACUGUGAGUUGACCUACCGAUAGCAAUAUUUGUGGACAAAGUACAUUUUAGAAAGCAAAGCAGAUAUUUUCAACAAAAACAGUUACAUUUUUUUGGCAAAAAUAAACCCUGUUCUCUCCAAAAACAGCUUCAGGAGCAAUGCAGCCACUUCUUGGAAGCCUCCCUGUUUUGGUCAAGUUGCUUUUUCCUGGCAGAAGGAUUUGAAUAAAAUGGUAUAACAGUCUUCUCUCAUCUGAAAUCUUUUCCCACAGACAAUAUGUUGCUUGGUCUUGUUAAUGAGUCUAAUUAAGUCAGAAUCUGUGGGAAAAAAUGUAGCCAAGAAUAAUUGAAAACAAUUCUUUUCACACCGCCUACUGAAAAAGAUCUGCUGUUAAAAUAGAGAAAAAAACAAUGCAACUGGGUUGUCAGAGAUGCUUCUAGUUCUAAAAUCCCCAUAGCCAUAAACUUCACAGUCCAUGUACAGCAAGCAGCCUCUGCACAAGACACAAGGCAAAGGAAACGAGGCUGUUUUCUGAAUACAACUUGUCCUCAGCACUAGCAGUGAAACUGUCCACUCUUUACCUAAAGCAAACAAAUUUCCUUUGCUUUAAUGUGCGUCUACUCACUGUGAAUUGUUGUCAAAUUCGCCCUCUUGAAUCUGCUAAAAGUUCUGUCUGCCAGAACCUCUGCCCUUUCAGAGAACGGAGGAAAGGCACAGUGGCUGAAGCUCAUUUUCUUCUUAGCUGUGUCCAAUGGCAUGUGUAGACUUGACUUAGCCUGUGAUAUGGCUGUAUUUGGCCCAGUAUUUGCAAGGGUUUAAACUUCUUUCUCUUGGUCUACUGGAGGUUUGGGGUCCUGUAUCCAGUAUUCUUUUAUGCUUACCUGCUUCUACAUCAGUCAUUUAGGACAUCAGCUUUUCAGGUAGACUGCAGUCCUACUUCCUUUGCUAAAAAACCAGACAAAUUACAUGCAGUGAGAUACUGGCUGAUAAAUAAAGAGCUCAAGUGACUGCUUUGUUUUCCAUUCUUAGAGGUGUAAGAGGUGUCAGCACCACUCAGAGCUUGAAUGCCAUCCCACCAAGCAGGGAUUAUUGGAGAAUAAUAUGAUUUUAGCUAUUAUAACAUAUAUAAUAUGUAUAACAUAUAAAAUAGGUAUAUAUAACAUAUAUAUAUAUAUAUAAACAUAUAAAAUAACACGUUAAUACAUGAAGGAGUAUUCUCCAAUUCUUAGGAUUAACUACAGCUAUUUAAAAUAUUAUUUUCAACAGACAGAAGUACUAAUUACUCCUUUAACUGAGAUUCCAUUUGUAGCAAAACAUGGUUAAAAUUCCAUCAAGAAAACCAGUGAGAAGCAAGCAUUCAUAUCCACCAUGUUUGUGGACUAGCAGUAAAUUCAGUUUAUCAGUAAUGUAAUCAAAUUAAUACAAAGUAAACCAGUACAUAUACCAGGAGAACAUUUCUUCUUUUCCAAAGCUCAACAAUACCAGAAAUUAAAGAGAAAAAAGAAGAGUAGAAGGUAAAAAAUAGUAUUAGAGCUCAAAUUUGAGGCAUUGAAAUAUAAAUCUUUUAUCUCUACCAAAAGUAGAAAAACAUCACAAAUAUAUAAACUAAAUAAGAGCAAAAAAACUUUGACACAGGUUGCCAUUUCUUACCACAUUCACUCAACCAGAUCAUCCUUCAUGCUUUAAUCAGUUUUAGGAGCAAAGUAGUUCUCUUUCUAAAGACCUAAAGAGGAACACCAGUGGAGCAGGGAAUGCAGGGAACACUGACAUUUCACUCCAUAAGUUGGUACCCAAAUCUUUUUGCCUUGAGAAAGAGAGCACUGGGAUCAUGGAUAUAAUUACAAAUUGUUGCAGCUACUGGCUCUGUCAGUGUUAGUUUAACCUGUACCCUGCAAGAUUCCUGUUUAUUUAAGACCUCCAAGUCUCUAUUUUACUCUUGUCAGCACGGGUUAAGGACACUUAAGAACAAGGAAGAAGAAAAAUUCACAGCCUUUGCCAGCCACCCUCAUCUGCCCAUCAAACCAGCCUUGCCCAGAUCUUUUGGCCUAAAGAAUGAGAGCAGGACUUCCUAGCAAGGAAAGUAAUGCCAAGGAAACAGAAAUCCUUCCUUAUGGCAUAAGAGGGCUUUGCUCCCUAGCAACCUCCAUCCUUACAGAACCAAAUUUUCUCAGGAGUGCUGUGCUCCCAGCUCACCUACUCCAUCUCAGAGAACUCACAGGAGAUUUGAGAAGUGCAGCAGACUCUCCUUUGGAAGCUCAUACCACACAAGCUGUUGAUCUUUCUCUGUACUGGGACUGCAGAUGGUCUGUCGCUGUUAAGAUACUUUGUGCAGCUGCUCAUACUAAAUUACUCCACAAACUUCUACUGUUUUCUUUCCUUUUGCUUCUAUUCUUUCACCAGUUCUUGUUGUCUACCUUGCCCAUGGUUCUAUGGGAGACAUACACCCAUCAUUUUUUGGUGGCUUCCCUUGGGGUAUGUUUUACUUUUUUUUUAUCUUAUUUUUCCAAGUACUUACCAUUUCUGUGGAAAAUCAGAGCAGCAUCUGGGGAGAUAUCUCAGUCCAGCUUACCAAGCAGCAGCAGUGUUCGCUGGACCGGACGCUGGCAUGGCGCUCUGAAGACCUGGUGUCAACUGUCAUCAGCCCAGGCACAUAAAGGAGCUUUGGAUAAGUCCUUUCACCUCUCUGUUUAUGGAAUCUUUGCAUAUUUGGCAUUGAUUUUCAAAGCUUCUAUAAAUUAAGAGCAUUCACUUCCGUAUGUUUUUAUUGAGACUGAUAUAAUGUGGUCCGUAUUUUAUUUGAGCUUACCGAAGUAUGAAUAACUAAGAGGAGUCCUACAUUUCAGAGUUGAAAUCAGAAGUACAACUGCCAGCUCUUAUUUGUGCCUAUGCACUUACUUCUUAUCUGGUUCUUUCUUUAAGAUGCAGUCAAAAUUAUCUCCUGCUGUUGUACAGAAAAUUAACCAAACAAAAAUAACCCUCACUUCUUACAACUGAGGAAAGUGCAAGGUACGAAAGCAAAGUGAUGUAUGUUGAAACAAGGAAGCAAAUGCUGUUUGUUAUUCUUACCAGAGCACAAUGACAUACUUCCAGGUUUGGAGAUUAUUUACUUUCUGAAAUACUUUUUAAGAGUUUAUUAUGGUCAUAUUCACAAUUGGCCUCAGAGAAGGGCAUGGACUUGGAGCUCGUUCAGAGUAAUUUAAUUAAUCUUAUUCAAAAAAGCAACAGCCAACCAUUACAGCCCAAGUCAAUACUAAAAUGAUUUCCCAAAACUCAUUACAAAGUCACUUUCAGGAAACAACUGGUAGUUCCAGAACUCAGAGGCUAAACUAUAAAUUUAAUUUUCUUUAAAGUCUGUAAAUGAGCAUUUAAAAAAAAAAUGGUGUGUUUCCAUUUCCUUUAAAUAAAGUAUGGUGCCUUGGGAGGCACGUCUUCUUUUUUGUCUAAAUCCUCUUUUCUUUUUCCUUUUUUUUUUGAAGUUAAUAUAUUUGGUACAUUUGUUACCACAUCAUACUGCCUCGAAAUAUAAACAAAACUCAUUUUAUUUCAAGAAAAUAAACACACAGCAUAAAUUUAAUCUGCCUGCCUGCCUACCAGAUGGAGAAAAGAACAGGGCCAAGUCACUGACAGAGUAACUGUUUAAUCACAUCAGCUUGAUGUUGACUUACUUAUAAAUACAAACGAGUCCACUUGCACCCUUGGGAACUCGCUGUGUUUUCCCCCAAUUUCUGAAAAUACUUGCAAAUUAAGUCUUUAUUCACUGUUCAGAUCACUACAGAGGAAAUACCAUAUUUAUUACUGAUGGUUCACUUGGAUACCUGUAUCAUGAUCCAUUGGGAGAUAAAUCGCUCCAUUUCAUAAACUGAGUCAACCUCCAGUUAAGUAGAGAAGUUUCUGUGCUAGUUCUGAUGAACUUUUAUUGUAGGCAUUAAAAUUUAUGUAAUUCAAUUUCACAGACAGUGCCACUUCAACAAGAUAUUUACUCAGGAACAAUCAAUAGGUGCCUUGACACUGCCCUCACAGGAUAAGGAUUUAGUCAAUACCAACAGCCACGGAUGCUCCUUGCAAAACCUGAUUCUGAAGAGACGAGCAUCGGGGCAGAAUACCUGGAAGUCUGACACCAGUCUUGCAGUGUGGCAUGGAACACCGACUGCAGCAGUCAGAGACCUGACCUGUGCCUCACUUCAGGUGAAGUUCGUGUCUUGCAGCUCCAGGGCUGUUCUCACAGCUUUCCCAGAAAGAGAAUUUGACUUUUGGUAUGCACUUUCUGGAGAUGAAAGUACACUGCUGCUUAUUUUUAUCUCAGAUCAAAUGAUGAGCAAUCACAUCUGGAGCAGGAUGCAGAAGAUCUGAAUAGAAGCCCAAGUUCUGUCACAGAUGCACAACAGAUUUUGGCAUGAUAGCUCCUGAUGUAGAUAUAUUCUGGCUAACUUUCAAGCUAACCAGGUGGGAUACGUAUAGCUGGAAGUCCUUAGGUAGGAUUCCCAGUCCCCAGCCUUCUGUACUUUUAAAUCUGUGCUGCUCAUGGUAUCCAACCUUGUCAGCUCCAAAACUAGGCAGAAUGUGCCUGUAUUGACUGACACAUCAAUGUCUGCCUUGCAGAACAGCAGCCAUUCAGGCUCUGAAUCAUCCUGCUCUGUCAGGGCAUGGGGAAGGACUGGGAAGCCAGAAUCAUGGCAUCUGAAACUUCAUAUUCCUGCACUCUGGAGAGACCCUGUGGGUGAGCCCUGGGAGCCAGAGGCCUCAAAGUGCCAGAGGGCAACCAUGGCUUUUGGUGUCACCUAUGAAACUGAGGACUUGAAAUCCCUGACUUUAACCUGAAUACAGAUCUUUCCACCUUAAGCCCUUUCCUAAUGAAAUCAAUAUUCUGGUCAGCUCUACUGCUAAGAAAAACAGCUGUAGCAGGAAGGGGAACAUAUUUUGUUUUCCCAGGUCCCUGCACUGAUGUUUCUCAAAUGAAAUUUUCUCUGACGUUCAGGCAUAAAAUCUUGAAAUUAAAAUGAAAUGUAAUUGCUAAUGAAUGGAAAGUAUUACAUGCUGGCCAGCUCUAUUUGUACAUACAAAAUAUCCUAGACACCUCAAAGUUUCUUUCAUGCCAUCUCAGAUUAUUGUCCUUUAUUGUUUUACCAAGAUCUCCAAAGCCAGCUGCUUAGGGGUUUUCACUGCCCAAACUCCCACUCGUUAUUCCAUUUGACACUCGGAUCCCUUGAGCAGCACUGAAAAAUUACUAAGCCUUAAUAUCUGUGCAAGAAUUCCAAACAAUAGCUACAACGAAGGAACUGGUCCUGGCACUAAAAACCCAUGAAUAUGUAAGACAAAUUGUAUCUGGAGAGAUAACGGGCUACCAGAAUCGUCUUUCAAAAGAUAUACAAUGUAAGCUGCACACUCCUCAAUAGCUCAAGGGGCUUACAGUCAAUAAAUUUAACAGGCUCAACCUAGAAAGUCAAAGCUAAAGUACAGUAUGCAAAUACAAGCUAGAGUGGACUCUUCUUUCUACCUUAGGACAGAGUUAAUAGAGGGGAAAUGACAAAAUACAUAAAAAGGAAUGCACGGGAUUUGACAGAGCAUGUUUUUUUUCCUUUUCACUUCAAGGCAAACUACCAGACUAUUUUGGUUUACAAAUAAAUCAAACAAAGAACUUUUAUCAGUUUGCAUAAAAGUCUCAUUUUCAGCACUGGAAAGAUUAAGCUUCAGAGCCUUUUUCUGUGUGUGUAUGUGAGGGAUUACAAAGGAAGUAGUGUAAAUAAUGACCUUGCUGAAAACAGAUUAGCUUCAAUGAUUAUAUAGUAAAAUAGUAAUGUUUUCUUCACUUACAGAUUAAAAUAUCAAUUGACAGUUUCCAUAAACAAGUAAAGCUCAUGGUUAUUCAGUGUAAUAGGAUAAUGACAGUAGCAGUAUCUGACAGCCCCAUUUCUGCCUCUUGACAUUAUUUAUGGUAUUCUGAUGCUCAGUCUAGGGAGCUGGAUCUUCAGCUUUGCCAGAUGUGUUUGCUGUGGCUCAGUGUUUAUGUGACAAAAACAUUUCCUUUAGGAAUUUCCUUUAUUUUACAGUUAUGUGGUCACACUAAAUACAAAUGUAUUGGACCCAUCACAUUCUUAUGGUUAUAAUCUUUUAAAGUCAACUUUUCAAGACCUACCCCUACUGCUCACAGGUGACUAAGAGCACAUAUGGGCUGAUUUCUCACUAGCUUACCCCUCAUACUGACAUCUACACUUAGUUUAAGUUGUCGGUCAAAACUGAAGCAGCUGGACUAUUCCCACCGAGACUCUGUUUUUCUUUUUUUUCUCUCCUGUCUUUGCUGUUUCUAAAAAGUACUACAAAGGAUGGAAACAGCAUACAUGGGAUGGAUACGGUGUUGGGUGUGGCAGGCCAGGUCUCUGCUCUGACUCAAUGGGGACUCUCAGGACAGAAAAAUCCAGCUUUGAGAGGGGCAGAGCAGAAGGAGGCUCCUGUAGUCCAAGUUAGUAUUUUAAUACAGAAAGCAACAGGCAAAUAUUCCUUCUCUUUGUGAGCAGGUCAGUGUUUAUGAGCACAAACUCAUCACAGGAGCCUUGGCUUGCAGUACCUGGGUUCUUCAAACAAAGCAAAGUGCAGUCUUGUCUAGCAUAUGUCCUGGCAGAGAAACCAGGGCUUUAAAGCAGCCUAUAAAAAUUAUGGUACACUAGCAAAAUUGGUUAAUGUUUAAUUAUGUUCAAUGGAGAAAGACUUAAAAGCCUGAAAUUCUGACUUCCUAAAUUGUCAAUCAUCUAAAAGACGCAGUAAGUUUUUUCUCGAACAGUAUCUUCUAUAAAAUUUAUUAAGCUGUAUGACACUGAGCCUGGGUUUCUACUUUAACUUCAUGCCAAUGGAAAGGAAGAUAAGCAGACAGGAAAAGGGUAUUGUGCUAUAGACUUGAGGUGCUGGAUUUUUUUUUUUCUUUUAAAUUCUAUCACAAAACUUGUUUAGGCAGAUCUCUGAAAAGUGCUCCCCUGAACUGGUCAAUGCAUCUUCAAAAAGGCUGUUAACCCUAACCGUGGGUAUUUGUACUCAUGGUAUGCCAUUUCUUAGCCUGUGUCUCUACAACAGUUUGUGAGUGCUGCGUAAUGGGGCUGUAGGCAAACACUGUGUAAAGCAGUCACAUCCAGCAAUGGUAGCAGUCUGUCUUCAGAAGCACAGAGCACAGUUCAAGCUACAAAAUCCAUUCAGAAUGUCGAAAAAAAUCAAGGAGAUUAACUUAUGCUGCACUCAGUGCUGCUCUAGUUGGUUUAAAACCUUAGCCAUAUUUACACUGAAGGGUCAAAAUGGUAGAAACAAACAAAACAAAUGAGCCUCAGCACCUGUUGUACAUGCAAGUAAUUGGAAAAAAAAAGGCUUAAAAAACAGGCUGCCAACCUUUGAUCUAUGGAGAAGGUGUCUGGACAUCACACAAGAUAUGACAGAGGAGCUCUCAAUGUAGAAGGGCAAUAGUAAGAAGCCACCCAGGGAAAGCAACAGACUAAUCUCAGAGUCCAGUGUAAGCAGAAAUCUUCUAACAGACAAAAUCAAUCCCUUCCAUGUUUUCUUUGUAGCUAAGUUGAGGAAACUAUCUCACGUAGAGAGUGAAAAAUGCACAUCCAGUGUAAUAAAUCUGCAUCCACAUAUGUCUAGCAAUUCACUUUUUCUUAUAAUUACCUUUUCUCUGUUAGUUCCUCUUGUUUCUUCAGCAGUCAUCCCAUGGAUACUUUCACGAAGAUGAUCUUGAGAAUAGAGAAUGCGCUGUCUUGUAAAGAGAAGAGAAAAUAAAAGGUUUUUGAGGGUUCUAUUCACCAUAACACGCCCAAGGGACUUCACUUACCAUCUAACUGUGCUGAUGGUAGCAGGAAAAGGCAACAGACAAAUGUAAAUCGACAAACUAGAACGCUGUUGUGCUUUCAGACUGCAUUAAAAAAGUGAAAGUCUAAAUGUUUUUGCUUUUCUUUACUGUUGCUUAGAAGUCUUUGAGGAAAGACUGAUGUUCCUUUUCCUUUACUUUUCCCAAAGUUUUAUUUUCCAGGUGUUGGGCCUGCAAAGAGCUGCUUUUAAAACUCUGGCGACAAUUUUACAUUCUGAAAGGAAUUCAAACAUUUUCACUUGCUCCAAAAUAUAUCAACUUAUAUAGCUUAUAUAACAAAUAUAGCUUAACAUUAAAAAAUACGGUGCCAUUACAUUUAUAAAACCCAAACCUUAAAUUCUUCAGUAUAAACUCCUUUACUUGUCAACUCUAUUUCAAUACAGAAAAAUAAUUUUAAAUACGAUCACUAUAAUAUCCUUAUGACAUACUUUUUUAUGAAGGUAUAGGAAAGGAGUCAGCAGUAUUCUGAAUACUAACUGAACAUAGCUUAUGACUAUGGCUAGCCAGACAGUAUUUGAAGUAGAUGGGAUCUGUUUCUGCUUUGUCUGGUCUUUGCCCAUAUCUAACCUAUAAAAAAGGCAAUUACUGAAGCAAAUGAUGAAGUUAGUAUUCAAUAAGAUAGUAAACUACUCAGUCAAAUGGUAUCAUACAGGUAAGAAAGGUCAAAUAGAAUUGAAACAGCAUAUUUAAGAAGAGGUAGGAAGCAUCAGCCCUAUCUACAAACAAUCAGCGAAGGGUAGGAUUUUCAACAGCCCCACUGAAGUUGAAGGGAAUCUCCCACUGACUCAAGCCAGGCAAACUUUAACUUUUAACUUUUUGGAAAACUUUAACCAAUCUAAUUUCAAAGGUCAUGUGCUUGUUGUUCAAAAUUAUGUGACUGUAAAUAACUUUUGUUACAGCAAAUGCUUAUCUGAUUUUAUAUUGCAUAACAAAAGGAUACAAUCUCACUCUGUAAGAUGCUCUAAACAGCGAAUUAUUUGUGAAGCAGUUCUAUCAUUACCUUAGUUGCCACUUGCUGUUCUCGAGUCCACAUUUUGUUUGUGUCACUGGUUCUAUUAAACUGCAGUGUUUCUUUUUUCUAAUUGUUUUUUGUUUUUCUGAAAUAAAUAUAAAUGUAAAGUUAGUGGUUAAAGCUUGUCUUACCUUUUCUUCUGAACAGUCAGGGUCUUUACCUCAGUCUCUGUAAACAAUACUUUGGAGCAUUCACUCAGUUGUGGUGGCCAGACCAGCAGUAACCAAUCACUAACUAAAACUACAACAGUGCUGACAUAUAGCUGUUGCGCUGUUGCCCCCAUGCCCACCAUGGACACAACACCCUGCCCAGACCUUCAGUCCUGAGCAAGCAGCAGUGGUUGAACCAAAAUACCACGCGGCCACUCUUGCGCAGAGUGCCUAGGACAAGCAUCUCAAUUUCCUUGAGCCCAGAGGUCUUCAGCACAAUGACAUGGUAACAGCUUUACGAGCAAACACUAUCUCACAAGUGAUGGGAUAUAAACCUGUUUUCAGAGAGCUGCUUGCAGUGCCAUAAGUCUGUGUCAUCGUCCCUUCCAUCAUACUCAUGCACGCUGAAAGGGCCACGAGAUUCAUUCAAAUCUUGGAGGCUUCUCUUAUCGAGUAACAAUAAAUGAAGCUCUGCAGGUCAAAUCUUGAUUAUAAAUUGCAUCCAAGUACCUGCUAAAUUGUAAAACUCUUGGGAAAGCUGAAAAUCACCAUUAUCAUUAAAUGCCACCCCUAAAAACGCAUAAGAAACAUUGUCGCUUGUUCUAGGGUGGAAGUUACUGUGAUGGAGACAUUACCAUUACCAAGUAUUUUUUACAUCAUCUAAAAGUAUGUAUUUAGCUUAAUUGUGGUAAAACUAGAUAGUAUUCUGUUGAUUUCAUAAUUACCACAAAAACUGCAAAAUAAAAUACAUGUUUUG